rnacentral:tRNA from 1 species
AAUAUUCUGGGAGAUUAAAGCUUUCUAAGCUUGAUAAUUGAGAGGUUCGAUUCCUUUUUAUUUUU